rnacentral:lncRNA from 1 species
AUGAUCUGUUCCAUAAAUUUUAAUGAAGCCCCAGAUACAGUUGACUUUCUGGGUUGCAAGCACACGUUGAUAGCUCAUGUCGAUCUUUUCAUCCACCAGUACCCCCAAGUCCUUCUCCACAGAGUCACUAUCAUUCAGCCUCUAUUCAUGUUUGAGAUUGCCCUGGCCCAGAUGCAGGACAUUGCACUUGCCCUUGUUGUACUGCAUGUUGAUUGCAUGGACCCACCUCAAGCUUGUCAAGGUCCCCCUGCCUUCCCUCCAGCAUGUCAAGAUCACGGAAUGGCUGAGGCUGGAAGGGACCUCUGGAGGUCAUUUGUUCCAAACCCCCUGCUCGAGCAGGGUGACCUAGAGCAAGUUGCCAACAAAAUUAUGUCAUCUCUGCCAAGUGAUGUCCCUCACAGCAACGUCCUGCAUGGUGAUGACACACACAACAAUGUCCUACACAGUGAUGACCUUGACAGGACUGAUAGGUACUGCAAUGUCCCACACAGAUAUGUCUCGUGCAACAAUGUCCUACACAGCUGUCUCAUUCACAGCCAUAUCCACACUGCAGUGACACACACAACGGGGACCCCCACAGUGACGUCCCUCAUAGCAAUGUCCCACGUGGUGCUGACUCCCACUGCAAUGUCCCAUACCAAGAUGCCUCUCAGAGCAACAUCCCACAUAGCGAUGUCCCACACAGUGAUGUCCCAUAAAGCUGUGUCCUGUGCAUCAGUGUCCCACACAGUGGUGUGCCACAGAACCAUGUCCAGUGCAACAGUUGCACAGCUAUGUCUCAUACAGAGAUGUCCUGUCCUCUGGACAUGCUUUAUUGGUACAGGUGCUUACUCAUGUCAGGGGACAUCCCACAUAGCCAGGAGGACAAGGAGCAUUUGCUUCUGUUAUUUCUUCCUUCUUCUCCUUCUCCUUCUCCUUCUCCUUCUCCUUCUCCUUCUCCUUCUCCUUCUCCUUCUCCUUCUCCUUCUCCUUCUCCUUCUCCUUCUCCUUCUNNNNNNNNNNNNNNNNNNNNUUCUCCUUCUCCUUCUCCUUCUCCUUCUCCUUCUCCUUCUCCUUCUCCUUCUCCUUCUCCUUCUCCUUCUCCUUCUCCUUCUCCUUCUUCUGAGCCAGCAGUGUGCCCUGGCAGCCAGGAGGGCCAACUGUAUCUUGGGGUGCAUCAAGGACGGCAUUGCUAGUCGGCCGAGGGAAGUGAUUGUCCCGCUCUACUCUGCGCUGGUGUGGCCUCACCUCGAGUACUGUGUGCAGUUCUGGGCACCACACAGUACAAAAAGGAUGUUAAACUGUUGGAGAGUGUGCAGAGGAGGGUGA